CCUACGGGAGGCAGCAGUAAGGAAUAUUGGUCAAUGGAGGCAACUCUGAACCAGCCAUGCCGCGUGCAGGAAGACAGCCCUAUGGGUCGUAAACUGCUUUUAUACGGGAAUAAACUUUGAUUCGUGAAUCAAGCUGAAUGUACCGUAAGAAUAAGGAUCGGCUAACUCCGUGCCAGCAGCCGCGGUAAUACGGAGGAUCCAAGCGUUAUCCGGAUUUAUUGGGUUUAAAGGGAGCGUAGGCGGCCUAUUAAGUCAGGGGUGAAAGACGGUGGCUCAACCAUCGCAGUGCCUUUGAUACUGAUGGGCUUGAAUAUAGUUGAGGUAGGCGGAAUGUGACAAGUAGCGGUGAAAUGCAUAGAUAUGUCACAGAACACCGAUUGCGAAGGCAGCUUACUAAGCUAUGAUUGACGCUGAGGCUCGAAAGCGUGGGGAUCAAACAGGAUUAGAUACCCUGGUAGUCCACGCCCUAAACGAUGAUAACUCGAUGUUGGCGAUAUACAGUCAGCGUCCAAGCGAAAGCGUUAAGUUAUCCACCUGGGGAGUACGCCCGCAAGGGUGAAACGUCAAAGGAAUUGACGG
rnacentral:rRNA from 1 species